rnacentral:rRNA from 1 species
CACGGGGGGAGCAAGCGUUGUUCGGAAUCACUGGGCUUAAAGGGCGCGUAGGCGGGCUAUCAAGUCCGGGGUGAAAUCCUCCAGCUUAACUGGAGAACGGCCUCGGAUACUGAUGGUCUCGAGGAGGAUAGGGGCACACGGAACUGUGGGUGGAGCGGUGAAAUGCGUUGAUAUCCAUAGGAACUCCGGUGGCGAAAGCGGUGUGCUGGAUCCUUUCUGACGCUGAGGCGCGAAAGCCAGGGGAGCAAACGGG